rnacentral:tmRNA from 1 species
GGGGCUGAUUCUGGAUUCGACGGGAUUUGCGAAACCCAAGGUGCAUGCCGAGGGGCGGUUGGCCUCGUAAAAAGCCGCAAAAAAAUAGUCGCAAACGACGAAACCUACGCUUUAGCAGCUUAAUAACCUGCUUAGAGCCCUCUCUCCCUAGCCUCCGCUCUUAGGACGGGGAUCAAGAGAGGUCAAACCCAAAAGAGAUCGCGUGGAUGCCCUGCCUGGGGUUGAAGCGUUAAAACGAAUCAGGCUAGUCUGGUAGUGGCGUGUCCGUCCGCAGGUGCCAGGCGAAUGUAAAGACUGACUAAGCAUGUAGUACCGAGGAUGUAGGAAUUUCGGACGCGGGUU